rnacentral:rRNA from 1 species
AUUGAACGCUGGCGGCAGGCCUAACACAUGCAAGUCGAACGAGUGGGGACGGGUGAGUAACACGUGGGUAACCUCCCAUCAGAGGGGAUAACACUUGGAAACAGGUGCUAAACCGAUAUUGAUGGAUGGACCCGCUGUGCAUUAGCUAGUUGGUGAGGUAACGGCUCACCAAGGCCACGAUGCAUAGCCGACCUGAGAGGGUGAUCGGCCACACUGGGACUGAGACACGGCCCAGACUCCUACGGGAGGCAGCAGUAGGGAAUCUUCGGCAAUGGACGAAAGUCUGACCGAGCAACGCCGCGUGAGUGAAGAAGGUUUUCGGAUCGUAAAACUCUGUUGUUAGAGAAGCGGUAUCUAACCAGAAAGCCACGGCUAACUACGUGCCAGCAGCCGCGGUAAUUC